rnacentral:rRNA from 1 species
AGAGUUUGAUUCUGGCUCAGGAUGAACGUUAGCUACAGGCUUAACACAUGCAAGUCGAGGGGCAGCAUAAUCGAAGCUUGCUUGAUUGAUGGCGACCGGCGCACGGGUGAGUAACGCGUAUCCAACCUUCCCCUUAGUAGGGCAUAGCCCGGCGAAAGUCGGAUUAAUACCCUAUGUUAUCCGUCGAGGGCAUCUGAAAUGGAUUAAAGAUUUAUCGCUAAGGGAUGGGGAUGCGUCUGAUUAGGUUGUUGGCGGGGUAACGGCCCACCAAGCCUACGAUCAGUGGGGUUCUGAGAGGAAGGUCCCCCACAUUGGUACUGAGACACGGACCAAACUCCUACGGGAGGCAGCAGUGAGGAAUAUUGGUCAAUGGGCGAGAGCCUGAACCAGCCAAGUAGCGUGCAGGAUGACCGGCCCUAUGGGUUAGUAAACUGUCUUUUGCAGUGGGAAUAAAGUCGGGGACGUGUCCCCGUUUGUAUGUACCAUGAGAAUAAGGACCGGCUAAUUCCGUGCCAGCAGCCGC